GCGCCGUAUUAGCUAGUUGGUGGGGUAACGGCCUACCAAGGCGACGAUACGUAGCCGACCUGAGAGGGUGAUCGGCCACACUGGAACUGAGACACGGUCCAGACUCCUACGGGAGGCAGCAGUAGGGAAUCUUCCGCAAUGGGCGAAAGCCUGACGGAGCAACGCCGCGUGAGUGAUGAAGGUCUUCGGAUCGUAAAGCUCUGUUGUUAGGGAAGAACAAAUGUGUAAGUAACUGUGCACAUCUUGACGGUACCUAACCAGAAAGCCACGGCUAACUACGUGCCAGCAGCCGCGGUAAUACGUAGGUGGCAAGCGUUAUCCGGAAUUAUUGGGCGUAAAGCGCGCGUAGGCGGUUUUUUAAGUCUGAUGUGAAAGCCCACGGCUCAACCGUGGAGGGUCAUUGGAAACUGGAAAACUUGAGUGCAGAAGAGGAAAGUGGAAUUCCAUGUGUAGCGGUGAAAUGCGCAGAGAUAUGGAGGAACACCAGUGGCGAAGGCGGCUUUCUGGUCUGCAACUGACGCUGAUGUGCGAAAGCGUGGGGAUCAAACAGGAUUAGAUACCCUGGUAGUCCACGCCGUAAACGAUGAGUGCUAAGUGUUAGGGGGUUUCCGCCCCUUAGUGCUGCAGCUAACGCAUUAAGCACUCCGCCUGGGGAGUACGGUCGCAAGACUGAAACUCAAAGGAAUUGACGGGGACCCGCACAAGCGGUGGAGCAUGUGGUUUAAUUCGAAGCAACGCGAAGAACCUUACCAAAUCUUGACAUCCUUUGACCGCUCUAGAGAUAGAGUUUUCCUCUUCGGAGGACAAAGUGACAGGUGGUGCAUGGUUGUCGUCAGCUCGUGUCGUGAGAUGUUGGGUUAAGUCCCGCAACGAGCGCAACCCUUGAACUUAGUUGCCAUCAUUCAGUUGGGCACUCUAAGUUGACUGCCGGUGACAAACCGGAGGAAGGUGGGGAUGACGUCAAAUCAUCAUGCCCCUUAUGAUUUGGGCUACACACGUGCUACAAUGGACAAUACAAAGGGCAGCGAAACCGCGAGGUCAAGCAAAUCCCAUAAAGUUGUUCUCAGUUCGGAUUGUAGUCUGCAACUCGACUACAUGAAGCUGGAAUCGCUAGUAAUCGUAGAUCAGCAUGCUACGGUGAAUACGUUCCCGGGUCUUGUACACACCGCCCGUCACACCACGAGAGUUUGUAACACCCGAAGCCGGUGGAGUAACCAUUUUGGAGCUAGCCGUCGAAGGUGGGACAAAUGAUUGGGGUGAAGUCGUAACAAGGUAGCCGUAUCGGAAGGUGCGGCUGGAUCACCUCCUUU
rnacentral:rRNA from 1 species